rnacentral:rRNA from 1 species
CCUAGGAGAAGGAACUCGGCAAAUUGACACCGUAACUUCGGAAGAAGGUGUGCCCUAUUAGUGUGAAGUGAACAACGGAGCAUGAAUGGGUUGCAAAAAAUCGGUGGCUGCGACUGUUUAUUAAAAACACAGCACUCUGCAAACACGAAAGUGGACGUAUAGGGUGUGACGCCUGCCCGGUGCUGGAAGAUUAAAUGAUGGGGUGCAAGCUCUUGAUUGAAGUCCCAGUAAACGGCGGCCGUAACUAUAACGGUCCUAAGGUAGCGAAAUUCCUUGUCGGGUAAGUUCCGACCUGCACGAAUGGCGUAACGAUGGCCACACUGUCUCCUCCUGAGACUCAGCGAAGUUGAAAUGUUUGUGAUGAUGCAAUCUCCCCGCGGAAAGACGGAAAGACCCCAUGAACCUUUACUGUAGCUUUGUAUUGGACUUUGAACAGAUCUGUGUAGGAUAGGUGGGAGGCUUUGAAGCAGGGUCGCUAGAUCUUGUGGAGCCAACGUUGAAAUACCACCCUGGUGUGUUUGAGGUUCUAACCUAGGUCCAUUAUCUGGAUCGGGGACAGUGCAUGGUAGGCAGUUUGACUGGGGCGGUCUCCUCCCAAAGCGUAACGGAGGAGUUCGAAGGUACGCUAGUUACGGUCGGACAUCGUGACGAUAGUGCAAUGGCAUAAGCGUGCUUAACUGCGAGACUGACAAGUCGAGCAGAUGCGAAAGCAGGACAUAGUGAUCCGGUGGUUCUGUAUGGAAGGGCCAUCGCUCAACGGAUAAAAGGUACUCUGGGGAUAACAGGCUGAUACCGCCCAAGAGUUCAUAUCGACGGCGGUGUUUGGCACCUCGAUGUCGGCUCAUCUCAUCCUGGGGCUGUAGCCGGUCCCAAGGGUAUGGCUGUUCGCCAUUUAAAGAGGUACGUGAGCUGGGUUUAAAACGUCGUGAGACAGUUUGGUCCCUAUCUUCCGUGGGCGCUGCAGAUUUGAGGAAGCCUGCUCCUAGUACGAGAGGACCGGAGUGGACACACCUCUGGUGUAUCGGUUGUCACGCCAGUGGCAUUGCCGAGUAGCUAAGUGUGGAAGAGAUAACCGCUGAAAGCAUCUAAGCGGGAAACUCGUUUCAAGAUGAGAUCUGCCGGGGCCUUGAGCCCCCUAAAGAGUCGUUCAAGACCAGGACGUUGAUAGGUCAGGUGUGGAAGCGCAGUAAUGCGUUAAGCUAACUGAUACUAAUUGCUCGUGCGGCUUGACCCU